UACGAAGGGUGCAAACGUUGCUCGGAAUUAUUGGGCGUAAAGCGCGCGCAGGCGGCUCGUCAAGUCUGGCGUGAAAGCCCCCGGCUCAACCGGGGAGGGUCGUCGGAGACUGGCGAGCUUGAGGGCGGUAGGGGCUGGUGGAAUUCCCGGUGUAGUGGUGAAAUGCGUAGAGAUCGGGAGGAACACCCGUGGCGAAGGCGGCCAGCUGGGCCGUCCCUGACGCUGAGGCGCGAAGGCGUGGGGAGCGAACGGG
rnacentral:rRNA from 1 species